rnacentral:rRNA from 1 species
UACGUAGGGUGCGAGCGUUAAUCGGAAUUACUGGGCGUAAAGCGUGCGCAGGCGGUUGGGCGUGUCCGAUGUGAAAGCCCCGGGCUUAACCUGGGAAUGGCAUUGGAAACUGGCUGGCUGGAGUGUGGCAGAGGGGGGUGGAAUUCCACGUGUAGCAGUGAAAUGCGUAGAGAUGUGGAGGAACACCGGUGGCGAAGGCGGCCUGCUGGGCAGUAGCUGACGCUGAGGCGCGACAGCGUGGGGAGCAAACAGG